UCGCCCGCCGCGCCCCGCGCCCGGCCCGCCGCCCCCGCCCCGCAUCGAUGAAGAACGCAGCCAAAUGCGAUACGUAGUGUGAAUUGCAGAAUCAAGUGAACCAUCGAAUCUUUGAACGCAUAUUGCACCUAUUGGUAUUCCGAUAGGUAUGCCUAUUUGAGUGUUAUGAAUUACUCAUCCAGAUCUCUUUGGGGAUCUUUUUGGAUGGUUCUGAGCUUGCGUUGGCUAGCUCGAAAUGAAUGGGGCGACGAUAGACCAGUUUAACGUUAUAUUUUAUUCUCGAUAAACUGGCCUAAGUUUAGUAGCCUUAAACCAAUUUUCAAUCUUAGCCUCAAAUUAGGUAGGAGUACCCGCUGAACUUAAGCAUAUCAAUAAGCGGAGGAA
rnacentral:rRNA from 1 species